AUUGAACGCUGGCGGCAGGCCUAACACAUGCAAGUCGAGCGCGAAAGGCCUUCGGGCUGAGUAGAGCGGCGGACGGGUGAGUAACGCGUAGGAAUCUACCCGGUAGUGGGGACAACUUGGGGAAACUCAAGCUAAUACCGCAUACGCCCUAAGGGGGAAAGCGGGGGACCUCCGGGCCUCGCGCUAUCGGAUGAGCCAGCGUAGGAUUAGCUAGUUGGUGAGGUAAAGGCUCACCAAGGCGACGAUCCUUAGCUGGUCUGAGAGGAUGAUCAGCCACACUGGGACUGAGACACGGCCCAGACUCCUACGGGAGGCAGCAGUGGGGAAUAUUGCGCAAUGGGGGCAACCCUGACGCAGCCAUGCCGCGUGUGUGAAGAAGGCCUUCGGGUUGUAAAGCACUUUCAAUGGGGAAGAAAAGCGUACUGUUAAUAGCGGUGCGCCGUGACGUUACCCAUAGAAGAAGCACCGGCUAACUCCGUGCCAGCAGCCGCCGUAAGAC
rnacentral:rRNA from 1 species